CAUUAUAUCUGAGAGAUGUGUAUUUAAAUUUGAAUUGCAAAGUAAUAAUAAGGAAGAGAAAAUUCCAGUGGGUGUUUUGUGUGUCGACAUAAGUCGUUUUGCUGUUUUAAUCGAGACUGUGAGAAAUAAAUAAAGAUACCAAAUAAGAUAAAAUAAAGCCUCCUGGACGAGAGGAGGCGAAAUUUUUGUUGGUGCAAGUGGCUGGGUUAAGGCUAAAGUGAAUUCCCCCCGAUUCAGAAACACACAUUGAACGGUGAUUACCGCAAACGCCACCGUUUCAUCUGGUGGUUAUAAAGGUAGGCCGCUUUUUAGUUUAUUGUGCCCAAAAGAGGGCGAGAGAGGAAAUUCCGUCCGUUGUUGUCCAGACCGAGAGGUUUGGUUGGAUGAAAAAUCGUUGGUCAACGUUAAUCCAGAGGUGCACAAUUGUUGCCAUCAGGCUAUCCAAAUUAGGGGAACUAUCCCAGUUAUCUCUGGAAAGCGGAAUCUUUGCUUGUAUUCGGCCGUACACUUUUGUUUUGGUGAUGGAAAAAGGUACCACCAGUUGAACACCUCCAACGACUUUGAAUUUGAAAUUAUAUGAAGUCACGCACACAUACUAACCUUUACUUUGAAAAGGCGAAUUCGACUGAUGACGAAACGUUUUAUUCUCCUCCCGAAAUAGAUGAUACCGAAAGAUUAAAACCUUGGGGUUAUAAUGCAAUAGUAAUCAAACUUUUCAUUACCUUUUUUUAUGUAUGUGGAUAUUGACAUGAUUAUUAUAUUUUGAUUUUUUAACUACCUUCUACUUUAUUUUUACCAUCAUAUUUAUUUCUUACAUUAUUAUUUAUUGACCAUUUUUUUAUAUUUUUUUCAUAUAUCCUAAGUUUUAGCUUACGUUUUUUUUACUUGUUUUUAUGUGAUAGAAUUUGCAAAACGUUCAUGAGUACGCGUUUGUAGGGUGUCUAUUCCCAACAGUGUGUCCCUUCUAAGAGAGCUCCCUUAGGUAGGCCAGGCUUAACCGUUUUUAUUUAUAUUAAUUUGAUUAUCCUUCUUUGCAAGUUCUAGUGUUCAGUGUUCGUUUCAUGUAACAAGAAAGUUAAAAAUUAGAAGAUUAAGUUAAUUGAUUUAAUGCUAUAAUUUAGUUAAAACUCAGUACUGUCAGUUUAUUGUUGAUGAUUUUGAUAAAAGAAAGACAGGAAUCUUAAUACGAAUUGCGUUAGUUUUAGGCCUUUAUAUUUUAAAUAAAAUUUAUGAUGUUGUGACUUGUUUA